rfam:Triticum aestivum genome assembly, contig: Triticum_aestivum_CS42_TGACv1_scaffold_162141_2DL
CAAGUACUCCCUCUGUUCCAAAUUACUCGUCAUAGAAAUGGAUGUAUCUAGAACUAAAAUAGAUCUAGAUACAUUCAUUUCUGCGACGAGUAGUUUGGAACUGAGGGAGUACUAC